CCUACGGGUGGCAGCAGUGAGGAAUAUUGGUCAAUGGGCGCGAGCCUGAACCAGCCAAGUCGCGUGAAGGAUGACUGCCCUACGGGUUGUAAACUUCUUUUGUCAAGGAAUAAAGUGCGGCACGUGUGCCUUUUUGUAUGUACUUUAUGAAUAAGGAUCGGCUAACUCCGUGCCAGCAGCCGCGGUAAUACGGAGGAUCCGAGCGUUAUCCGGAUUUAUUGGGUUUAAAGGGUGCGUAGACGGGUUGUUAAGUCAGUUGUGAAAAUUGGCGGCUCAACCGCAGAAGUGCAAUUGAUACUGGCAGUCUUGAGUAGAGGUGAAGUAGGCGGAAGUCGUGGUGUAGCGGUGAAAUGCAUAGAUAUCACGAAGAACUCCGAUUGCGAAGGCAGCAUACUAAACUGCCACUGACAUUGAGGCACGAAAGUGUGGGUAUCGAACAGGAUUAGAUACCCGAGUAGUC
rnacentral:rRNA from 1 species